GACGAACGCUGGCGGCGUGCCUAAUACAUGCAAGUCGAGCGAGACUCUUCGGAGUCUAGCGGCGGACGGGUGAGUAACACGUGGGCAACCUGCCUGUAAGACUGGGAUAACACCGGGAAACCGGUGCUAAUACCGGAUAAUCCUUUUCCUCUCAUGAGGAAAAGCUGAAAGUCGGUUUCGGCUGACACUUACAGAUGGGCCCGCGGCGCAUUAGCUAGUUGGUGAGGUAACGGCUCACCAAGGCAACGAUGCGUAGCCGACCUGAGAGGGUGAUCGGCCACACUGGAACUGCGCCACGGCCCAGACUCCUACGGGAGGCAGCAGUAGGGAAUCUUCCACAAUGGACGAAAGUCUGAUGGAGCAACGCCGCGUGAGCGAUGAAGGCCUUCGGGUCGUAAAGCUCUGUUGUUAGGGAAGAACAAGUACCGGAGUAACUGCCGGUACCUUGACGGUACCUAACCAGAAAGCCACGGCUGACUACGUGCCAGCAGCCGCCGUAAGAC
rnacentral:rRNA from 1 species